AUUGAACGCUGGCGGCAUGCCUUACACAUGCAAGUCGAACGGCAGCACGGGAGCAAUCCUGGUGGCGAGUGGCGAACGGGUGAGUAAUAUAUCGGAACGUGCCCAGUCGUGGGGAUAACGUAGCGAAAGCUACGCUAAUACCGCAUACGAUCUAUGGAUGAAAGCGGGGGAUCGCAAGACCUCGCGCGAUUGGAGCGGCCGAUAUCAGAUUAGGUAGUUGGUGGGGUAAAGGCUCACCAAGCCAACGAUCUGUAGCUGGUCUGAGAGGACGACCAGCCACACUGGGACUGAGACACGGCCCAGACUCCUACGGGAGGCAGCAGUGGGGAAUUUUGGACAAUGGGCGCAAGCCUGAUCCAGCAAUGCCGCGUGCAGGAUGAAGGCCUUC
rnacentral:rRNA from 1 species